GGAGAAGAAAGCAGAGCUAUAGAGGAGACCUUAAAAAAGAGUAAUUGGUCGCCGGAAAAUGACGUAAUAUCGGAGGUACCUGGUUAGAGCGGGCCGCGGGUCGAGAAGCACCGGCGGAGGAGGAAGAUUCCGGCGGCGGAGCCUCCGACCAAGUCAGCAGAUCUGGAGUGGAAGUGUGAGGCUU